rnacentral:rRNA from 1 species
UACGUAGGGGGCAAGCGUUGUCCGGAAUCAUUGGGCGUAAAGAGCGUGUAGGCGGCCAGAUAAGUCCGCUGUGAAAUCUCGAGGCUCAACUCCGAAACUGCAUUCGAUACUGCCGUGCUUGAGGACUGGAGAGGAGACUGGAAUUUACGGUGUAGCGGUGAAAUGCGUAGAUAUCGUAAGGAAGACCAGUGGCGAAGGCGGGUCUCUGGACAGUUCCUGACGCUGAGGCACGAAGGCCAGGGGAGCAAACGGG